GAUACCUUUCUCCUCUCCUCUGCAGCCUCCAGCUUUUUCUGGAUCUCCUCAAGAGAGAGUUCUUUCUUCUUUGGAGAAGCUAAAGUUCGUGGUGCUUCUGAGACUGGAGAUGGCGGCUUUAGGAUCAGUUCAAAGGCCUGGCCUGAGGCACGUUUGUUGAUUUGUUUCACUUCCAUGUCUGCACAAUAAAGUGUGAAAUGAGUUCCUCAACCGUAACUGGAACUUGGCUCGAAUACCCACAGAAAUUCCGGAGGCUGCUGCAACCCUGGGAACCAAACAACCUGCCAUGCUGGCAAACACUGCUUUUCCUGUUGUAAACUUAAGGGUUGAGGGCAUCAAAGGAAAUGAGGAGCUACCCUUCUCCUCAGGUGUCCAACAUCAGCAUCAUCAUGACAUGUCCCCCUCAACCAAGCUUACUUGGCAGCAUUGAGCAGCAGGAGCCCUGCUUUGCUUAGCUGUCCUUUCCUUAAACAUUUCCUUAAAAUACAUUAAAAAACCUGAAAGCAGU